CCUACUAAACCCCCACGCAUCUAUAUAGAGGAGGCAAGUCGUAACAUGGUAAGCGUACUGGAAAGUGCGCUUGGACGAAC
rnacentral:rRNA from 1 species